AUGAUUUCUCAAUUUAGGCUGAUUGCUUUAAUCAACAACUUCGCAAGGAUGCCUGCAAAGGGCAUGGCCACUAGGCUAUCUCCCAUUGCACAUCGGACCAUUAGCCCUUUCCAGUCUGCUUUCAUCAAAGGGAGGUUCAUUUUGGACGGGGUGCUUUGUUUACAUGAGAUUGUUCAUGACUUACGGGUGCGAGGGACCAAGGCUGUGGUUCUCAAACUUGACUUUGAAAAGGCCUACGACUCGGUUAGCUGGAAAUUCCUUCGGCAAGUUCUUUUGGAUAAGGGCUUUGAGGGGCCUGUUAUGCAGCGCUUGAUGCAAUUGGUUUCUGGGGGGCACACGGCUGUGGCUGUCAAUGGCCAAAUUAGCCAGUUUUUUGCUAAUGGCAGGGGCCUCAGGCAAGGGGAUCCAACGUCCCCUUUACUCUUCAACUUUGUGGCUGAUGCUCUAUCUCGCAUUCUCUCUCGAGCUGCCUUGGCUGGUCAUAUCACUCCGGUGAGCUCUCAUCUCAUCCCUAAUGGCAUCUCUCAUCUCCAAUAUGCGGAUGAUACUAUAAUUCUGAUGGAACUUAAUGAUAAUAGCCUCACCAAUCUGAAAUUCCUUCUGCUUUGUUUCGAAGCGCUCUCAGGUCUUAAAAUCAAUUUCUCUAAGAGUGAGGUUGUAGUGACUGGGGUCUCGGACGAAGAGGCGCAGCGGGUGGCCCAUCUUCUGAACUGCUCUUUGGGAUCCUACCCUCUCAAAUAUCUAGGCCUCCCCAUUUCCCCGCUUAAACUUUUGGCUAAAGACUUUGCUCCGGUGGUUACCAAAGUUGGCAACAGAGUUCUCCCUUGGCGAGGGCGAUAUAAUACGCAAGCGGGCAAGGUCGCCCUUACUAACUCAUGUCUUUCUUUGCUACCUAUGUUCUCAAUGGGAUUCUAUCUUCUCUCUAGUGGGGUUCAUAAUGGUUUUGACAAGCAUAGGGGUGCUUUCUAUUGGAAUGCAGCGGACAAUAAACGUAAGUACAAGAUGGUUAGAUGGGACAUUAUAUGUCGCCCCAAGGCCAAAGGGGGUCUGGGCAUUAUUAAUACGCGAGUGAUGAAUAAUUGUCUUAUGAUCAAAUGGUGGUGGAAGAUCAUGACUCUUGAGGAACUGCCACCCUGGCUCUCUAUCCUAAAAGCUAAAUAUUUCCCCUCCUCGAGUCCUAUGUUCGCGCCGGCUACGGGUGGGUCGCAAUUUUGGCAUCAACUGGUUAAAGUCCGGCCGAUCUUUCGGUCCCUUGUAAAAUUUGUAGUUAGGAACGGUAAGUCUACGCGGUUUUGGCUUGAUUGGUGGGUCGGGGACUCCACGCUGGCUGUUGCUUUUUCGGUUCUAUUUUCUUAUUGCGAUGAUACUGAGGUUUCUAUCUUUGAGCUCUGGGCUAGGGGUUGGGUUCUGGAUUUUCGUCGUUCUCUUUCUCCUGAAGAGUUGGAAGAUUGGUAG
rnacentral:rRNA from 1 species